rnacentral:rRNA from 1 species
UACGUAGGGCGCAAGCGUUGUCCGGAAUUAUUGGGCGUAAAGAGUUCGUAGGCGGUCUGUUACGUCCGCUGUGAAAACCCAGGGCUUAACCCUGGGCUUGCAGUGGAUACGGGCAGACUAGAGGCAGGUAGGGGAGAAUGGAAUUCCCGGUGUAGCGGUGAAAUGCGCAGAUAUCGGGAGGAACACCGGUGGCGAAGGCGGUUCUCUGGGCCGAUACUGACGCUGAGGAGCGAAAGCGUGGGGAGCGAACAGG